UACAGAGGGAGCGAGCGUUGUUCGGAAUUACUGGGCGUAAAGGGCGCGUAGGCGGCUUAACAAGUCCCGUGUGAAAUCCCUUGGCUCAACUGAGGAACGGCACGGGAAACUGUUUGGCUUGAGUUCGGGAGAGGGAAGCGGAAUUCCGGGUGUAGCGGUGAAAUGCGUAGAUAUCCGGAGGAACACCGGUGGCGAAGGCGGCUUCCUGGACCGACACUGACGCUGAGGCGCGAAAGCUAGGGGAGCAAACGGG
rnacentral:rRNA from 1 species